rnacentral:rRNA from 1 species
UAGUCUUUUAAUUGAGGACUAGAAUGAAAGAGUAAACCAAGAAAGGUUUUUUUCUUUCUUAAUAAAUGAAGUUUACUUUUUAGUAAAAAGGCUGAAAUUACUCUUAAAGACGAGAAGACCCUAUAAAACUUUAUACUAUUUUUUUACUUACAGAAAAGAGGGUAUUUUGCUGGGGCGGUAAGAGAAAUAGACUUCUCUUAUUUAAAAGAGAGGUAUAUCUUUUUGUAUCUAAAAUUUUUGAAAAAGGAACAAGUUACUUUAGGGAUAACAGCUUAAUUUACCUUAAAAGUUCUAAUUGACAGGUAAGUUUAUGACCUCGAUGUUGAAUUAAAAUACCUCUGUUUGUGUAAAAGCUAUAGAAGGAGUCUGUUCGACCUUUAAA